CCGAAACCAGGUGAUCUACCCUUGGUCAGGUUGAAGUUCAGGUAACACUGAAUGGAGGACCGAACCGACUUACGUUGAAAAGUGAGCGGAUGAACUGAGGGUAGCGGAGAAAUUCCAAUCGAACCUGGAGAUAGCUGGUUCUCUCCGAAAUAGCUUUAGGGCUAGCCUCAAGUGAUGAUUAUUGGAGGUAGAGCACUGUUUGGACGAGGGGCCCCUCUCGGGUUACCGAAUUCAGACAAACUCCGAAUGCCAAUUAAUUUAACUUGGGAGUCAGAACAUGGGUGAUAAGGUCCGUGUUCGAAAGGGAAACAGCCCAGACCACCAGCUAAGGUCCCAAAAUAUAUGUUAAGUGGAAAAGGAUGUGGCGUUGCCCAGACAACUAGGAUGUUGGCUUAGAAGCAGCCAUCAUUUAAAGAGUGCGUAAUAGCUCACUAGUCGAGUGACACUGCGCCGAAAAUGUACCGGGGCUAAACAUAUUACCGAAGCUGUGGAUUGUCCUUUGGACAAUGGUAGGAGAGCGUUCUAAGGGCGUUGAAGCAUGAUCGUAAGGACAUGUGGAGCGCUUAGAAGUGAGAAUGCCGGUGUGAGUAGCGAAAGACGGGUGAGAAUCCCGUCCACCGAUUGACUAAGGUUUCCAGAGGAAGGCUCGUCCGCUCUGGGUUAGUCGGGUCCUAAGCUGAGGCCGACAGGCGUAGGCGAUGGAUAACAGGUUGAUAUUCCUGUACCACCUAUAAUCGUUUUAAUCGAUGGGGGGACGCAGUAGGAUAGGCGAAGCGUGCGAUUGGAUUGCACGUCUAAGCAGUAAGGCUGAGUAUUAGGCAAAUCCGGUACUCGUUAAG
rnacentral:rRNA from 1 species